ensembl:lncRNA
ACCAAAUCUGUUUUCAUACCAGUUGCAGUUUUGCAUUUAUCAUGAAGUUUCAUUACAAGCAUAUGUGUAUUUUAUAUGAAUCUUCAUUUUAUUAUGUGUGUCCUGCAUAUUGUUUUGAAAAACUAUAUGCUCACUAUUCCAGUUUUCAACAGUCUGUGCCUCUUCUCCAUUGAGAUUCAAAUGAAUCCAUUUAUAUAAUGUUUGAAACAGAGAGCAAUCAUAAAAUAUGUUGGUAUGGUUAUUGAAGAAAAUAUAUUUCAAAAAGAACAGUAUCUAAACUGUUUGCUACUUGAGAGCAAAGUUUAUUUUCUCUCAGUGUAUUUUGUAAUUAUGAAAGUCCAAAUGUUCUUGUAUAUAUUCUAUAAACAGAGAAGAUAAAUUAGCAAACACCUCAAUAGAACAUAGAUUUACAGAAAAUCUAAUGUUCCAUUUUAACUAGCUCAAUGUAGAUCUUGUUAUAGUUCAGUUAUCCACAGUCUUGUUUUUGUAUCAGCAGAGAAUGUGUUGGUUCUCUUUGGGGGGGGGAGAUAUUUUAAUCAACAUUUUUAUAUGCUUUGGAUUUUCAAGAGAAGCAAAAUCUUAAGAUACUUGUUUUCAAGUGUCUAGUGAAUACUCUGCCUGAUGAACACUUUUCUAUUUAAUAAGUUAUCAUUAGUAAAAUGUACAUUCUUUUUACUUCCACCACCGAUUUAAAGUUGGAUUGGCAUCACCGACUCAAUGGACAUAAAUUUCAGCAGGCUCUGUGAGAUCGAGGACAGGAAAGCCUGGCAUUCAUGGGUCACAAAAAAUACAUUGAUCACAAAAAAGUAGACACGACUGAGUGACUGAAAUGAUCCUAUUAAGUACAGUCAUUACAAAGUUUUCAAAAUAAUAUGUAGUCCUCAAAUAAGACCAGAUGACAACAUUUGUCACAGUAGUUUUUUCCUAAAUUCACCUGGUAAUUUGUUGUAGCCAUCAGUGUUUGGUAAUUUGUUUUCUAUGGAAGAAUGAUAAAUUGCACAUAAUUUAAUGACUGAAUGUGGUUUUGGAAUGAGGCAUUCUCUUAGACAGUUACCCUCUACAGAAAUGAGUCUUUAGGGGCUAGUGUUAAUGAAUAUCCAUGUACCCAAUAUAGUUAGGCCAAGCAAUAUCAGAACAUUGGAGUGUAAAGCAGAGAGUUUUAUUGCAGGGCCAUGAUCCUGAACUCCCCAAGAGUUUUAAGCAAAACACACUUCUGGAAGAGGUGACGGAGUGGUGUGAUUAACUGUUGCAAAUGUCUCCCUGUCAGAUCCUCUGCUGCUGAAAUAAGGUCACGGUGAGGUAACAGUGUUCAUGUAAGCCUCUGGUGAAACAACUAUUACUACCUUUGCUGAAAGAAAAGCUUCCAAGCGUGGCUUUCGUACUCCAAGGUCCUGUUUAGGAGGAGGGGGACCCUGGGCAGGCUGGUUAUCCUGACUGGGAGCAUUCAUCCAGCACCCAGUCUUGACCCUCCCACCAGUGGCCAGUCCUAGCUGAAGAGGCAGCUCUCAGUCUCUGGGCCCUCCUCUUUAAAGGUCUCCAUACCUUGCCCAACCAUCUUCAAUGAAGGAGCCAGGUGUCCACCAUGCAGCUGGCCCUCAGUCUUCUCAGUCUACCCAGUGGGUGGGGGCUGGGUCCUAUAGAAUGACUCAGGCAGAAGCCACAACCAUUCGGUCAUGGAAGUGGGGAUGGGAGAGCUCGGCUAUUGCUCUGAACCUGGGGCCAGGCCAGUGAAUGGCUCUAGCAAGCAGCUCUGGGCCACUGCAAGACACAGCCUUUGGCCUGUCCCCAGGGGUUCUGACUUGCUCCCCAACCCAAGGCCAGAGGACCUGGAGGGCCCUGGGCAAAGCCUGCAAUAUAUCUUUAACUAAACUCUUCUAAGAGGCUGACUCUGGUGGAGCUGGAUUUUGAACUUCACUAAUGGACCUGAGCUCAAUGUGCAGCUCCUUAUUCCUCCUGCCCUCUUACAGUAUCUUCUCUUCUGCGAUUAUUCAAUGUAUGACUAAAGUUGGUACCUUGGACCAUCAUGGUCCAUUUCCACUAGCCCUCAACAACCACAUUCAACUCUCUGUUUCUAUUACUCAGGUAUUUUAACUAACAGUAUCAUGUGAUGAUAAUGUUUUUGUCUUCCUCUAACUGAAUAUUUUACUUAGUGUAAUGUCCCUAAAGACAUAUACAUUGCAAAUGUGGGAACCAUUUAUUUAUUCACUGCUGGAGGUAUAAUGGCAACCCACUCCAGUACUCUUGCCUGGAAGAUCUCAUGGACAGAGAAACCUUGUAAGCUACAGUCCAUGGGGUUGCAAGGUGUCAGAUAUGACUGAGCGACUUCACUUCACUUUUGACUUUGGAGGUAUAGUUGCAUUGUAAUAUUUUUAAAUCAAUUUUUAUUUGAGUGUAGUUAUUUUAUACUGUUGUAGUAGUUUGUGCUGUACAUCAGUGUGAAUCAAUUAUAUGCUUACAUAGAUUCCUUCAAGUUGGAUUGUCUUUCCAUUUGUGUCACCACAGGGCUUUUUAAAAUUUUGUUAGUAAUUUAAAUUGAUUUCUUUAUUUUAACUGGAGUAUGAUUACUAUACAACAUAGUGAUGGUUUCUGCCAUACAUCAAACUUAGUGAGCCAUAGGUACACAUGUGUCCAACACAUCCUUAAGCCCACCCUUCAUCCCUCCUCACCCUUUUCCUCUGGAUUCUUCCAGAUCACUAGCUUUGGAUGCCCUGCUUCAUGCAUAUGUGCACCUGAAGGAUGAUUUCCCUGUAUUAAAAAAUUACUUUUCUUCUACUUCACAUAUUAAAAUAUGGGUGCAAAGUUUUCCUUCUUCAGAAAGGAGGCAGUGUAGGAAGGAGAGGCACUGGAGGAGGGAGAGGUGUUGGGGAUCAGGAAGUGUUCCAGCUGCUGGUGGCAGACAACAUUUAGGAGGUAGAAGUGGUGGCGGAGGAGGAGCAGAAGAAGGUGUCUGCAAAAGAGCAGGAGGAGCAGCUGGAGGAGCAGGGCCAGGAACAUCCAAGGACAGGAGCCUCGAGUGACCAGCCCCAACUGGAAGCACUGGCGGCAUUGGUGGCCCUGCAGGUGGAGCUGAGCUCUGCCAAUGAGAAAGACCCCAAAGCCUAUCUUCGGAUCCAGAAGAAGGACCAUCAGAAGAGAAAGCAUCCCUUGAAUCAGAGAAGUGCCAUCAUCCAGGGCAUCCCUGGCACCUGGGGAAAAGCUAAGGUGAAGCGUCUGUCUGCAAUGCAGAAGACCUGCAUUCGAUCCCUGGGUCGGGAAGAUCCCCAGGCAAAGGAAAUGGCAACCCAGUCCAGUACUAUUGCCUGGAAAAUCCCAUGGAUGGAGGAGCCUGAUGGAUCCAACGAACUCACAUGGCUUCCUCUUAGGAAGAUUCCACCCAAGGGGGCCCCUGGUCUUCAAAAUGGAGAUGAGACAACAAGGACUCUAAGAGGAAGAAAUUCCAGUAUGGGCCAUGGCAGCUCUAAAAAUCUCCAGGAAGCAUUGCCCUUGGCGGCAUCACCCUUAUGAUCUCCCCACUUGGGGACAAAUAAAAACCCUUACUAAUCGAGCAGAAAAUUUGUUCUCUCAACAGCAAUUGCCUUGGAGUCCUGAGUACAUUCUCCUGGCAAUGCUCAGUCUCUUGACCUGUACUUCCCCCCACUUGAGCUAAUACCCAACCCCCCUCUAUUGCAGGUCGUAGAAUGGACAAAAAAAAGACCAAUCAUAUCAAACAAUGACUCCACCCAUACGAUGCCUCCCUGGAAUGUGAAAGGGCCCUUCACACCCUGGGGAGGAGGGAAAACUAAUUAACAUUUCUUUAGGUUAUGAAGUCCUUCCCUUGUGCAUGCGCUCAGCAGAAUUGAGCAUAAACAUCAGCCAUCAAAUGGGCUUUUGCCCUGCCUCCCAAAAAGGAUUUUUGGACUUUUCUUAGACUAUUACUGCCCUUUCUUUGUCUGUGAACCAUGUUUAUACUACUGAGAUUUUAGGGAAAGUGUUAGGGAAAGAACAAAGAACGUUACUUAUAAGAACUUCACAUAUACUCCUGUUCAUUGGGACUAAUGUCAAGCCAAAUCAGGAAAAUUAAUGUUUGUGGCUAAUUAUUUAAUUGUUGAUUGGGG